rnacentral:misc_RNA from 1 species
UCCCCGUUAUCCGGGGCGGUUUCGCUAGAGUGCCCAGCUUGACCUGAUGGUAACUAACGAUAAGGGUUGCGCUCGUUGCGGGACUUAACCCAACAUCUCACGACACGAGCUGACGACAGCCAUGCAGCACCUGUGUCCAGGUUCCCUUUCGGGCACACCCCCAUCUCUGGAGGCUUCCUGGCAUGUCAAGGGUAGGUAAGGUUUUUCGCGUUGCAUCGAAUUAAUCCACAUAAUCCACCGCUUGUGCGGGUCCCCGUCAAUUCCUUUGAGUUUUAACCUUGCGGCCGUACUCCCCAGGCGGAGAACUUAAUGCGUUGGCUACGGCACCGCAGGGGUCAACACCCACGACACCUAGUUCUCAUCGUUUACGGCGUGGACUAC